rnacentral:rRNA from 1 species
AUACGGAGGGUCCAAGCGUUAUCCGGAUUCAUUGGGUUUAAAGGGUCCGCAGGCGGUCAAUUAAGUCAGAGGUGAAAGCCCAUCGCUCAACGAUGGAACUGCCUUUGAUACUGGUUGACUUGAGUUAUACGGAAGUAGAUAGAAUAAGUAGUGUAGCGGUGAAAUGCAUAGAUAUUACUUAGAAUACCGAUUGCGAAGGCAGUCUACUACGUAUAUACUGACGCUGAGGGACGAAAGCGUGGGGAGCGAACAGGAUUAGAUACCCUAGUAGUCC